rnacentral:rRNA from 1 species
GUACGGCGAGUGAAGAGGGAAAAGCUCAAAGUUGGAACCUGGUAGGCAUAGCUUACCCGGAUUGUAAACUAAAGUUUUCGAGUCGUUUAGUCAGCCAGGUAAAUAAGUCCUCUGGAAAGGGGCGACAUAGAGGGUGAAAUCCCCGUCUUUGGCCUGAGUUUUGAUUAGGCGUUUGGCUUGGAAACGAAGAGUCAGGUUGUUUGGGAAUGCAGCCUAAAAUGGGAGGUAAAUCUCUCCUAAAGCUAAAUAUUGACGAAAGACCGAUAGCGAACAAGUACCGUGAGGGAAAGAUGAAAAGCACUUUGAAAAGAGGGUCAAAAAGUACGUGAAAUUGCUGAAAGGGAACCGUAUGAAAUCAGAUCUACUGGUAGGUAAUCAAUCUUUCCUUUGGGAAGGAUGCACUUGCCUACUAUGUAUGCCAGCGACAUUUUGGUUGGGAGGAAAAAAAUAAAGGAAAUGUAGCUUAGGUUUCGGCUUAGGUGUUAUAGUCCUUUAUAAAAUACUCUCGGCUGGAAUGAGGAACGCAGCAAACCGUAAGGCGAAGAUUUCAGGCGCUUAGAGGGAAUAAUUAGAGAAUUUCUGCUUCGGGUGGUGCUUUGAUUAUUACCUUUAACACGCUUGGAGUUCUUUUAAU